rnacentral:misc_RNA from 1 species
AACCUAGCACACCUGCGGUGUGUACCUGCGGAAGGAUCAUUAUCGAGUUACCACUCUAUAACCCUUUGUGAACAUACCUACAUGUUGCUUCGGCGGUCGGCCCCCCGGGCCCCCGGCCCCGCUCACGCGGGGCGUCCGCCGGAGGAUAACCAAACUCUGAUUUAACGACGUUUCUUCUGAGUGGCACAAGCAAAUAAUCAAAACUUUCAGCAACGGAUCU